CCGCCUCAGACCCAGCCGGGACAGGGGCCUCAGGGUACCGCCCCGCGCUGCCGGAGGAGGCUGUAGCGUCAGGUGACAGCCCGGAAGCUGCGGAAGCGGAUGAAGCUGAGAGGUGGAGGCCCGGUGGGGCUCCGCAGAGGUGAGGGAGCUGGUCGGCGGCCCCGGAGCUCGUGGCGCAGCGCGUAUGCGGCGCUCAGGCUGACAUCCGAAGGCCGCCGCUCUGGGUCGUGCGGCCGGGCCUCGGCGUUUGGAGUCGCGGCGCGGGCCUCCGGCGGGCGUCCAUGGAGAAGGCUGGGCGUGAGAGUGACGGCGCCCCCUGCGGGCCUGUCCUGCACAUCGUGGUGGUCGGCUUUCACCACAAGAAGGGCUGCCAGGUUGAAUUCUCUUACCCACCACUAAUUCCAGGAGAUGGACAUGAUAGCCACAGUUUACCUGAAGAAUGGAAGUACUUGCCUUUCCUUGCCUUACCAGAUGGUGCACAUAACUAUCAGGAAGAUACUGUGUUUUUUCACUUGCCACCCAGAAAUGGAAAUGGAGCCACAGUAUAUGGUAUCUCUUGUUAUCGACAAAUUGAAGCCAAGGCAUUAAAAGUGAGGCAAGCCGACAUCACCAGAGAGACUGUUCAGAAAAGUGUCUGUGUUUUAAGCAAGCUGCCUCUUUAUGGCUUACUUCAAGCAAAACUCCAACUCAUUACACAUGCAUACUUUGAAGAAAAAGAUUUUUCCCAAAUUUCCAUUCUAAAGGAGCUCUAUGAACAUAUGAACAGUUCCUUGGGAGGGGCCUCCUUAGAAGGAUCACAGGUGUAUCUUGGUUUGUCUCCUCGAGAUCUUGUCCUUCAUUUUCGACACAAGGUCUUGAUCCUGUUUAAGCUAAUUCUUCUUGAAAAGAAGGUUCUGUUUUACAUUUCUCCAGUGAAUAGAUUGGUGGGUGCACUAAUGACUGUGUUAUCCCUUUUUCCAGGCAUGAUUGAGCAUGGCCUCAGUGACUGUUCUCAGUAUAGACCCCGAAAGAGUAUGUCUGAAGAUGCUGGACCUCAGGAAAGUAAUCCCUCUGCAGAUGGUUUUACUUCUGAGUCUACUUCUGACGUCUUAAAUACCAGCUUGGAAACUGUCACAAGAGUCAUGGCAGUAAACCAUGGAGAAGAUGCUGUGCCCAAGACGGAGAAGCCUUACUUCCAAGUAGAAAGUAACAACAACAAAGGACAGGGACCCAGUGAUUCUGGCCGAUAUUUGGAACUUCCACCCCGUCCAUCUCCAGAGUCUUCAGAAAGUGACUGGGAAACGUUGGAUCCUAGUGUCUUAGAGGAUGCCAGCUUGAAAGAAAGGGAACAGAUGGGGUCAGACCAGACACACUUAUUCCAAAAGGACUCUGUGCCCUCGGACAGUCCUCCAAUUACUGUACAGCCUCAAGCUAAUAACAGGCAGGUGGUGCUGAUACCAGGGCUCAUUUCUGGUUUGGAAGAAGACCAAUAUGGCAUGCCUCUGGCCAUCUUUACAAAGGGAUAUCUGUGUUUGCCUUACAUGGCAUUGCAGCAGCAUCAUCUUCUCUCUGAUGUCACUGUUCGGGGAUUUGUGGCUGGAGCUACUAACAUCCUUUUCCGACAACAGAAGCACCUCAGUGAUGCCAUUGUGGAAGUGGAAGAAGCACUGAUCCAGAUCCAUGAUCCAGAACUUAGGAAGCUGCUUAACCCAACGACGGCUGACCUAAGGUUCGCAGACUACCUGGUGAGGCACGUGACUGAGAACCGGGAUGAUGUCUUCCUGGAUGGCACCGGCUGGGAGGGUGGUGACGAAUGGAUCCGGGCCCAGUUUGCAGUCUACAUCCACGCUCUGCUGGCUGCUACACUGCAGUUAGAUAAUGAAAAGAUGUUAUCAGACUAUGGAUCAACUUUUGUUGCCGCCUGGAAGAAUACUCACAACUACAGGGUAUGGAACAGCAAUAAGCACCCGGCACUUUCAGAGAUAAAUCCAAACCAUCCUUUUCAAGGCCAGUACUCGGUGUCAGACAUGAAACUCAGAUUCUCACAUUCUGUUCAGAAUAGUGAACGUGGCAAAAAAAUUGGCAGUGUCAUGGUCACAACCAGCCGGAAUGUGGUACAAACAGGAAAAGCCGUUGGCCAAUCAGUUGGAGGAGCUUUUUCCAGUGCAAAGACAGCUAUGUCUUCAUGGCUAUCUACUUUCACCACAUCCACCCCUCAGAGUCUUCCUGAGCCACCCAACGGGAAGCCCUGAGUCCAGCAGAGCAGCAGAAGCUGCUUGGUUUUCUGCGGUGGAAUGCCCCCUCCCCGUCUGCUGCUCCCAGGGUUUCUUCUUCUACCAAGAUGAUAAACUGUUUACAUGGACGGUUGCACUCUAAAUGAAAGUUGCAGUAUGCUGAAUGGACGAAAUUACAGCCGUAGCAGAAUAGCUUUCCAGACUUAACUGCGUGUUGUCUGUGUGAUCUCUGGCCUUCACAACUGGGCAACAGUGCAUUCUUCAUUUGUCAAGAAAGCAGCGCAUAGGUGAGCUGAAGGACUACACAUCCAGUUUAGCUUCCUCCUGAUACUGCUUAUCACCAUACGCUCUCUAGCUGUGACCUCUGCGGAAAGAGCUCUAUGUAGCGUCUGGGGAACUCUGAGGAAUGCUGCGCAAGUACUAAGGAGGUUGGUCAUGUAAUCACUCGUGGACAGGGCCAGGGAAGGAGAAAACUGCACUCCUGUGGUCCAUUUCUCCACUUGGACUGAUAAGGUUCAAAACAAUACACUGAGGAUUCCAGGUAUGUUUGCUGUGCACCAUGGCUCCAUUACAACUUGUUUAUGGAAUAAGAAGAUAAAUGUCCCUUUCCUGGGGUUGUAUGAGUGUGGCCUUUAAGUUGUUUAGCACUAAGGAAGGUGAUCUAGAUUUAAAAGGAUAUUUUUUCGGAUGACAAUACAAGUUAAAAUCAAAACCAUUCAGGUAGAAAAUUAUAAACUUAAGAUAGAAUAGAUGUUAUAAUAUUGUACUAAAUUAUUCAGAUUGUGAAUUUCUUUUAAACUUUCCAACCACACACACACACAGACGCACACACGUGUGAAAAUAAUUACUGUCUGUAAUAAGCUUCAUCAAAACAAGUUCUGGCUUUUUAAUACUCUGAGUAUAUUUAACUUUAACACAUUAUUAAUAAAAGACUUUUAUGCCUUAAAAAAAUAAUUGACAAAAUUGAUGGACUGGAUGUUAUUAGUGUAUAUCUUACCUUAUAGUUUACACCACUGUUAUAACUGUUCAAUGUAUAUCUGAGAGAGAAAAGGCCUUUUUAAUAGAUGAAAAUGGUGAAUUGUUGUAGAUUGGUUCUAAUGCUAAGUCACAGGGGAAAUGCUAAUGCUAAAGUCACAGUGAAGCCUAACAUCUGCCUGAAAGAGGCUGAGGGUCCCUGCUCUUAGUUGGCUCUAAUUGGUAAAUAAAGUUGCCUGUGGCCAAUGGCUGAGUAGGGAGACAAAGGCAGGACUCCCAGGCAACGGAACCAUGGAAAGGUUUUAGAAUUGCUAUGAUGGGGAAUCUGAAAGAUCAGGCUUGAGAGCUGAAGAAGUGAGAGCAUACAGACAUGUAAGAGCGUCCCCAUCCCUCUCUCCUUUUGAGUCUAGGGUAACAAAGGUAGAAUUUAGAUUUUAGUAAGUAAUAGUUCAGGAGUAUUGGUAGGGAGACAUUAGCAUCGUGGAAGUGUGGGAAUGGCCCACACUUGAUCUGCUUAGGGGCAUAUUAAAAAUAUUAAAUAUUAAAAAUGUGUGUCUUUCAUUCAAGAAUCCACAAUAUUGGGGUGGUCGUGAGAAGUGCUAGCACAACUGCCAGAGAUACUGCCACAACAGGACAAGAUCAUUCAACUAUAGUAUACAUGGGUGUAUGUGUUCUACAUACUGUUUAUCAUUUUGUGUUUUACAAAUAUUUCCCAUGAUUCAUUCUUCACAAUGUCUUAAAAGUAGUUAUUUUUUCUUUUAAUUAUUUUUAAUCAUGUGCAUAUUGAGGGGUGGGUGUUCACAAUGCCAUGUCCACAAAGAGGGAAUCCAGUCCCCCAAAGCUGGAGUCACCGGGUGGUUAUCUAAGGUGGAUGCUGAGAACUGAACUCUGGUCUUCUUCAAAUGUAGCAUGCCCUUCUAACCACUGAGCCUUCUCUUCAGCACAUGAGUAAAAUUCUUAAUCUAGUCACAUUUAUCCAACUACAUUCAGUGAUUCUGUAUCCUCUUUAAGAAACCUUUUACCUGAAAGAUCAUGUGUUCAACUCUACAGUGUUGAAGUUAUUUAUUUAGUCUUACAUUUCACAUUCAGGAUUAUCUGGGAUUUCUUCGUUAGAGCCAUGUGAAGUAAAGAUACACAAGGCUAGUGUAUCUUGCUGCUGCUUAUUUCUUCCAGGAAGAACUCUUUUGGAGCUAACUUCUCUUCGAUGUACAUUCAUGCAAAAGCACAAGAGGAGCAUGGGAUCGGAGUAAGAGUUAGAGAGCAGCCUUUAAGUGAAACAGUAAAUUUACAGUAGUAAAUAGUAACUGAGAUCCUCACUUAGCUUAUGCAUAUUUCUCUUAUUGUGUUUCAGGUCUUGGCAAAGUAUUACCUCAUCACCACUUAGUAGAGAUGAAUGAAGGGACCUUGUUUUGGUACUCUGAUUGGCUGAUGUCCUCAAAGUCAAAUAGUCUCACAGUUGCUUCAGUGUUUCCAAACCUGUCCUGGGCAGCCACAAACUUUGAGAACCUUUUAACUGUAUGAGAGACUCAAUUUUCCCCCAGGAAACUGAUGUUUUACAGUCUGUGGCCACUUGAAAUUACUGUUGACAUCAACGGAGUCCCUCAGCUGCAUAUAAUGUUGUGCCUUCCUUGUGGAGUACUUGAGUUCUUUUCUCUAUGUUGUGUAUAUUGCAUGAUAGCUCUCACUAUCUCUGGCUGCCAUAGUUUGCUGCCAUAGGUUGCCACUUGCCAGAGGGUAGAGCAUACUGACUUUUGAGCCAGGGUCCUGAACCAGCAUACAUUCCUAGGGGGUAGCAACUGUUCACUGGGGACAGUUAGGUCCCCAAGCCAGGACCUAAGGGUGGUGAGUUUUAGCAUGGAAGGAGUUGAAGUUGUAAGACACCAAGGACCCCACAGCUAUGUGAACAACAUGAAUGAAGACUAGGGAGCAGCAUGUCUUGGAGAAAUCAAAUGUUCCGAGUGGCAAUAAGGGUCAGCAAGGAGAUAAAAUCAAAAAAUAAGGCCACAUCAGGCCAAGGAGAGUCCCUUCAGCCUCGUGAAUGGAAAUAAUUUGGAAGGUAACUGGGCUUCCUAGGGGCAGGCAACAUCUUAGGGAGCUGCUUCAGGAGCCUGAUCACCACAGCCUUUUAACUGAACUAUGAACCUCAGUGUUUCUCAGCUGGCCAUCCCGUGUCCAAAACACAGUAAACCCCAAAACAAAACUCCCACAACUGUUUUCAGUCAGAAUCCAGUCACUGUGAGAACAUGGCUUCUUAGAGUUCACCAGAGGUUGGGUUGUAAGGUGACUAAUGAAAAGGCAAUGUGAGCCACUGUAGGUAUGGGGGCGUCAUAUUGAGGGUCCAAGCAACUGCUCCAGCUACUGUCUCCAGCAGAGCAGAGACCCUAGAGACGUGGCUCUAUCACAGUGCUCAGAGAAACCUCCUGUGCGUGCUGUACACUGGGGUUAGUUCACAUGUGUUAAAAGUCCAUCUAUAACUAACAUCUAGAUUCUUCUAGCCAACCUAACCCAUGAGCUUGUUUUAAACAGGAACGUGUACUUCCUCUGGGGAAUAAAGGGAUGAGCGAACAAAGAGGAAUGGUAGCCUUCCCACCUGCCUGGGCCAGCCCUGCUCCAGAAAGCAGUCAUUGAACAAUUUGUAGAGCUUUGAGGCACCGUUCUCUGCUGUCAUGGCCUGAAUUGGUUCUUUGUUCAGUAGCAUCCAUCCAUUUAGAAACUGAAACCUCUGCCCUAGAUAAAUCAUUGCUCACACCACACGCCUGUGAGAUGGAAAUUCCCAGGUAGACUUUUGACAGCCCAAUCACUACUUUUUGUUAUUAAAAUCACAAGGCUAAAAGCCAGGUGUAGGUGUAUAGCCCUAUAACCCCAGCACAGCAGAGUCCAGAGAAUAGUUCAAGGUCAGCUAUGAAGAA